UACGCAGGUGGCAAGCGUUAUCCGGAUUUAUUGGGUGUAAAGGGCGUGUAGGCGGGAGCGCAAGUCAGAUGUGAAAACUCAGGGCUCAACCCUGAGCCUGCAUUUGAAACUGUGUUUCUUGAGUGCUGGAGAGGCAAUCGGAAUUCCGUGUGUAGCGGUGAAAUGCGUAGAUAUACGGAGGAACACCAGUGGCGAAGGCGGAUUGCUGGACAGUAACUGACGCUGAGGCGCGAAAGCGUGGGGAGCAAACAGG
rnacentral:rRNA from 1 species